rnacentral:lncRNA from 1 species
AUGAGACUUACUAUCACGAGAACAGCAUGGGAAAGACCCACCCCCGUGAUUCAAUUACCUCCCACCUCAGUGAAGUAUCAUCUAGCUAUGCCAGUUUCCCUGCACAAGCUCUCUUUUCUUGUCUGCUGCCACAUAAGACUGCCUUUUACCUUCCACCACGAUUGUGAGCCCUCCCCAGCCAUGUGGAACUGUGGAGAAACUGAGAUUCAGACAAGGAGCUUCUUGUUCAGCAAACACUACUUAGCCAAUAAUCUAAAUGGAAGUUAAUGGAGAAUUGUUUGACUCAGUGCUAUGGUCUGAAUGUUGUGUCCCUCCCAAAUUCAAAUUCAAAUCCUAACCCCAAGGUGGUGAUAUGAGGAGGUGGAGUCUUUGGAAGGUGAUUAUAUCAUGGGAGUGGAACUGUCAUGAAUGGGAUCAGUGCCCUUGUAUAAAAGCCUCCUCAACCCUUCAACUAUGUGAGGACACGGCAAGAAGAUGCCAUCUAUGAACUGGAAAGUAGGCCCUCAUCAGACUCAGACCUACUGACACCUUGAUCUUGGACUUCCCAGUCUCCAGAACCUUGAGAAAUAAAUUUCUGCUGUUUAUAAGAGGCUUGGUUUAUGGUAAUUUGUUAUAGCAUCCUGAAUGGACUAAAACACCUAUGGUAUUAAGAAUUUUGAGGCCGGGCAUGGUGGCUCAUGCCUGUAAUCCCAGCCUUGGGAGGCUGAGGUAGGUGGAUCAAUUGAGCUCAGGAGUUCGAGACCAGCCUGGGCAAUAUAGUAAGACCUCAACUCUAUUCUAAUUUUUUUUAAUUAAAAGAAAAAAGGAUCUGAAAAUUCUAAAUCUGCUUUCUCCUCUAUUAAAAAAUUUUCAGGGCCGGGCGCGGUGGCUCACGCCUAUAAUCCCAGCACUUUGAGAGGCCGAGGUGGGUGGAUCAUGAGGUCAAGAGAUCGAGACCAUCCUGGUCAACAUGGUGAAACCCUGUCUCUACUAAAAAUACAAAAAUUAGCUGGGCAUGGUGGCGCGCACCUGUAGUCCCAGCUACUCAGGAGGCUGAGGCAGCAGAAUUGCCUGAACCCAGGAGGCGGAGGUUGCGGUGAGCCGAGAUUGUGCCAUUGCACUCCAGCCUGGGUAACAACAGCAAAACUCUGUCUCAAAAAAAAAAAAAAAAUCUUCAGAUGGCAGCUCUUAGUAUACUAGAGUCACAUUCUGAAUAUUUGUAGCCAUUGUCCACAAGGGCAGUCAGAAGACUUAAGUUAGUGGUUUCCAAACUUACUUUUUGGUCUAGAA